rnacentral:lncRNA from 13 species
AUGGAAGGCCUCAGAUUGAGCCAUGAGGCCGCCACUGACCUCCAGGAGCGUGGGGGUUCAGAGAGAGGCUUUCCAGGGGCGAGUCUGACCCCAUGCACCAGACAAUGCCUCUCAGGUGUCCAGACCACUACCACAGGACCCUGUCAAGAUGUCUUCUCUGCUCUCGCCCUGUUGGAGCGUCUAUGUCUGCAGGUGGGAGAGGGAGCGAACGGAGGACCAGCUAUAUAUACCUGGGCUACUUUCGGCCUGCCCUCCUACCUCUGGGUGCCCCAUGAAGGGCAUACCCCAGGCCGCAUCAAGGCCUUGAGGCACCCUCCACAGCCAGCUCAGCAGCAGCAGAGUGGUACCCAGCCACCACCUCCCCCCACCCCAGAUAUACCCCCUCCUCUUCUUCCUCCUCCCCCUCAUCCUCUACCUCAGCUCUCUGGAGGGCCACCACCACCCCCUCUCUCUGGUGGGGCUGGUCCUCCUCCUCCACCCCUUCCUCCUCCUUUACCUGGUAUGUGCAGACCUUGUCCCCCAUCUCCACCCCCUCCCCUGCAGAGCUUUGGACCUCCACCCACACCCCCUCUACCAGGUAAGGG